AGCGAACGUUAGCGGCGGGCCUAACACAUGCAAGUCGAACGAGAAUAGGGGGAGCAAUCCCCUUAGUAAAGUGGCGGACGGGUGCGUAACACGUGGGUGAUCUACCUUCCGGCGGGGGACAACAGUCCGAAAGGAUUGCUAAUACCGCGUACGUCAGCGAGGUCUCCGGACCUUGCUGGGAAAGAUGGCCUCUCUUUAGAAGCUGUCACCGGAAGAUGAGCCCGCGGCCCAUCAGCUAGUUGGGAGGUAACGGCUCACCAAGGCUAAGACGGGUAGCUGGUCUGAGAGGAUGAUCAGCCACACUGGGACUGCGACACGGCCCAGACUCCUACGGGAGGCAGCAGGUGGGGAAUA
rnacentral:rRNA from 1 species